rnacentral:tRNA from 1 species
ACCUGGCUGGCUCAGUUGGUAGAGUAUUAGACUCUUGAUCUCAAGAUCAAGAGUUCGAUCCCUAUUUUGGGUG